ACGAGUUAGGGUCUUCUAGGCCCGACCUCCCAACCCUAUGUUUAUUGAACCUCUGUUGCUUCGGCGGACCCGCCUCACGGCCGCCGGAGGACCGCUGCAAGGCGUCCUCUGGCCAGCGUCCGCCAAUGGCCAACCACUUAAACUCUGAAUGAAUCGUGUCAUAUGUCUAAGUCUAUGAUUAAAUUAAAGCA
rnacentral:misc_RNA from 1 species